AUUGAACGCUGGCGGCAUGCCUUACACAUGCAAGUCGAACGGCAGCGCGGGGCAACCUGGCGGCGAGUGGCGAACGGGUGAGUAAAAUAUCGGAACAUACCCUAGAGUGGGGGAUAACGUAGCGAAAGUUACGCUAAUACCGCAUACGCACUAAGGUGGAAAGUGGGGGAUCUUCGGACCUCAUGCUCAUGGAGUGGCCGAUAUCUGAUUAGCUAGUUGGUGAGGUAAAGGCUCACCAAAGGCGACGAUCAGUAGCUGGUUUGAGAGAACGACCAGCCACACUGGAACUGAGACACGGUCCAGACUCUACGGGAGGCAGCAGUGGGGAAUUUUGGACAAUGGGGGCAACCCUGAUCCAGCAAUGCCGCGUGAGUGAAGAAGG
rnacentral:rRNA from 1 species